UCACUCUGGCAGUACAUGUAACAACACUGGAAUGUUACAGGGAAGAUUAGCAUAGCCCCUAUGCAAAGAUGUCAUAAAUUUGUAAAGUUGCCAUAUUUUUUU
ensembl:snRNA U6 U6 spliceosomal RNA